GGUGUGCCUCCGUGGUAGAGUGCAUGCCUUGCAUGCUUGUGGCCCUGGGUUCAACCCCAGCACC
rnacentral:tRNA from 1 species